rnacentral:rRNA from 1 species
CGGUACAUCGGUGACAGGUGGUGCAUGGUUGUCGUCAGCUCGUGUCGUGAGAUGUUGGGUUAAGUCCCGCAGCGAGCGCAACCCCUAUUGUUAGUUGCCAUCAUUCAGUUGGGCACUCUAGCGAGACUGCCGGUAAUAAACCGGAGGAAGGUGGGGAUGACGUCAAAUCAUCAUGCCCCUUAUGACCUGGGCUACACACGUGCUACAAUGGUUGGUACAACGAGUUGCGAGUCGGUGACGGCGAGCUAAUCUCUUAAAGCCAAUCUCAGUUCGGAUUGUAGGCUGCAACUCGCCUACAUGAAGUCGGAAUCGCUAGUAAUCGCGGAUCAGCACGCCGCGGUGAAUACGUUCCCGGGCCUU